UCAAUGGAGGACUAAUGGUUAGGCCACAGCGCUCUCACUGCUGCAGCUUGGGGUUCGAUUCCCAGCCAGGGAA